UGAGAUUAUACAACUGUAACAUGUGUCACAGGCAUCCUAAACAUACGUAACAUGGAACUCGACAUUUUGAUAGCACCCAUGUAAUAUUUGUAACACACCUGUUAUAUGUCGCUCUCCUGGUAAAUAAAUGUAGCGCAUGUAACACAUUUUAGGCUAGUGGAGCACAUGUACAAAUGCACUUGUUGUUGUGAUGCAUUGUAGACAAGAAGAAGAAGUGCAAAGUGGCAGUGAAGAAACUUCCUAUCAAGCCCGAGUGGAGAGUGUGCAGCCCCGCUUACUACACGCCCCACAGAGCAGGACACCUUCCUCAGCCUGCGGCAGGAGACGCCACGUGGGACCACCCCCAAAAGAUUGGACAGUACCGGCAAUACUUUGCCCAGCUGGAUGCCUUCCACGGGGGGGACGUCUGUCCUCCACCUCCUCCUCCACCACCACCUCUUCAUCCUCCUCUUCCUCCCUGUGAGCCGUGUGAAGACGACGUCGCUCCUCCAGUUGAGCCUUACCAGCUGUGAGUGGCCCACACGACGCUGCAUCGCAGAUUUUU